rnacentral:rRNA from 1 species
AUUGAACGCUGGCGGCAGGCCUAACACAUGCAAGUCGAGCGGAAGCAGGGAGCUUGCUCCUGGUUUCAGCGGCGGACGGGGGAGUGAUGCCUAGGAAUCUGCCUGGUAGUGGGGGAGAACGUCCGGAAACGGGCGCUAAUACCGCAUCCGUCCUGCGGGAGAAAGUGGGGGAUCUUCGGACCUCACGCUAUCGGAUGAGCCUAGGUCGGAUUAGCUAGUUGGUGGGGUAAGGGCCUACCAAGGCGACGAUGCGUAACUGGUCUGAGAGGAUGAUCAGGCACACUGGAACUUAGACACGGUCCAGACUCCUACGGGAGGCAGCAGUGGGGAAUAUUGGACCAUGGGCGAAAGCCUGAUCCAGCCAUGCCGCGUGUGUGAAGAAGGUCUUCGGAUUGUAAAGCUCUUUAAGUCGGGAGGAAGGGCAGUAAGUUAAUACCUUGCUGUUUUGACGGUACCAACAGAAUAAGCACCGGCUAACUUCGUG